UUGUUUGUGUCAAAGCAGGUGUUUGAAUGAGACUCUUCAUCUUGGGGUCAUGGGUUCGAGCCCCAUGUUAGGCAAA